rnacentral:rRNA from 1 species
AACGAACGCUGGCGGCAUGCCUAACACAUGCAAGUCGAACGGAACCUUCGGGUCUAGUGGCGCACGGCUGCGUACCGCGUGGGAACCUGCCCUUAGGUUCGGAAUACCUCACCGAAAGAGGUGCUAAUACCGGUUAAUGUCAUAGCACCAAAGAUUUGGCGCCUGGGGAUGGGCCUGUGGUGGAUUAGCUAGUUGGUGGUGUAGAGGCCUACCAAGGCGUUGAUGGGUAGCUGGUCUGAGAGGGUGAUCGGCCACAUUGGGACUGAGAUACGGCCCAGACUCCUACGGGAGGCAGCAGUGGGGAAGAUUGCACAAUGGGCGGAAGCCUGAUGCAGCAACGCCGCGUGCGGGAUGACGGCCUUCGGGUUGUAAACCGCUUUCGCCUGUGACGAAGCGUGAGUGACGGUAAUGGGUAAAGAAGCACCGGCUAACUACGUG